AUUGAACGCUGGCGGCAUGCUUUACACAUGCAAGUCGAACGGUAACAGGCCUUCGGGUGCUGACGAGUGGCGAACGGGUGAGUAAUGCAUCGGAACGUGCCCAGAGGUGGGGGAUAACGCGGCGAAAGCUGUGCUAAUACCGCACGUGAUCUGAGGAUGAAAGCGGGGGACCAGGCAGCAAUGUUUGGCCUCGCGCCUUUGGAGCGGCCGAUGUCAGAUUAGGUAGUUGGUGGGGUAAAGGCCUACCAAGCCGACGAUCUGUAGCUGGUCUGAGAGGACGGCCAGCCACACUAGGACUGGGACACGGCCCAGACUCCUGCGGGAGGCAGCAGUGGGGAAUUUUGGACAAUGGGCGCAAGCCUGAUCCAGCAAUGCCGCGUGCGGGAAGAAGGCCUUCGGGUUGUAAACCGCUUUUGUACGGAACGAAAAGGCUCUGGCUAAUACCUGGGGCUGAUGACGGUACCGUAAGAAUAAGCACCGGCUAACUACGUG
rnacentral:rRNA from 1 species